rnacentral:rRNA from 1 species
CUGAGAUGUCUAGCGGGUGUGAGAGCACGACCCGCGCCACUCGCACUGAGACACUGGCGAGACACCUACGGGUGGCUGCAGUCGAGGAUCUUCGGCAAUGGGGGCAACCCUGACCGAGCGACGCCGCGUGUGCGACGAAGGCCUUCGGGUUGUAAAGCACUGUCGAGGGGGAGAAAGGCCGAAAGGCGUGAUCUAUCCCUGGAGGAAGCUCGGGCUAAGUUCGUGCCAGCAGCCGCGGUAAGACGAACCGAGCGAACGUUGUUCGGAAUAACUGGGCUUAAAGGGCGCGUAGGCGGGCCGCCAAGUUCGAGGUGAAAUCCUCCGGCUCAACCGGAGAACUGCCUCGAAUACUGGAGGCCUCGAGGCGGGUAGGGGCAUGCGGAACUGUGGGUGGAGCGGUGAAAUGCGUUGAUAUCCACAGGAACUCCGGUGGCGAAGGCGGCAUGCUGGACCCGAUCUGACGCUGAGGCGCGAAAGCCAGGGGAGCAAACGGGAUUAGAUACCCCGGUAGUCCUGGCCCUAAACGAUGGGUACUAGGUAGUAGACUUGACAUGGGUUUACUGCCGGAGCUAAAGUGCUAAGUACCCCGCCUGGGGAGUAUGGUCGCAAGGCUGAAACUCAAAGGAAUUGACGG